GCAAGGGAUUAAGGCCUAACAGAACACUGGUUAGUGCUCUCAGGCUCAGAAUAAAGAAAAGGCAUAAGGACUCAGGGACUCAGUUUUACCAGAUCAUAUUCUAUUAGGAUGUGUGAUAGACCCCAACGUGUAUGAUUGCAAGAACAAGUGCCAGUUUCACUCGGAUUGUAUUUUUGGCUAUGAAUGCUGCAAUUCCUUCUGUGGAAAAAUCUGCAUGAGAAUGAAAGAAACUGUGAUCAGAACUAAGAAAAUUAACCCCAGCCGCACGGUGGUGUCUACUGUUGCUCCCUUAAUCACCAGUGAGAUGCCGACUACACUUGAAGGACAAGACAUUAGUUCUACCUGAUGUCCAGUGGUACCAUCGUCUUGUUCCAGCUGGGAGGCAAGGCGAAGGAGGAGUUAGGGUCAUAGGGAAGUGUCUCUGCUCCUUGCCAACUCUGUUCCCUGAACCAUUAUAUUAUAUUAUCAGCUUCAAUUCUUUGACAAAUAAACUAUGGCAGUAAC